GUUUUUUUCGCACUCCCGUUUUUAAAAUAUAAAUCUACAAGAUUAUAUCUAAUGAUUGGUGCAUACAAAAGGAAAAAAAAAAAGAAUGUGCCUUCCAUAACAAUUAUACAUCGAUCUUUUAUUCCCUUUCACGUUUGUUAUUCUUGUUUGCAACAUUCUUCUUUCCUAUCUUCCAUGCUUUUGUUUUUGUUGCGUGUAUCUUUAAUCGCACGCAAAACUUAAUUUGGUUCAUCCACGUACACAUACACAUACAUGUUACCAUUAAACUCAUAACAAAAUUCAAUUGUAUAUUAGCUAACCCACGGCGUAGUUCUAAAUGCCAUCGUAAAUUAUGCAUGACACGUUCCAAACACACAUUAAAUUUGUACGUUAAAUAAUAUUAGUAAGUUUGAACUCCCAAGAUAAAUUAUUUUCUUCUUUGAGUUAACUACCAAACUAGAACUUCCAGUUUUCCGUAAUGCUCUAUAACGAUUCGAUCGGUUCCACCAGAGGCAGACCCACGUUGGUUAAAGGGGUGUCACCUGACACAUGUUAACGUUAUAUUGUAGAAAGUUUGUAACCUUUAAUCGAAAACUACAUAGCUCAAUUGGUGUGUUUGCUCUCCUCCUGACCCCCUUUAAUUGUGACACCCGGUUCAAUUCCCGCGUUUGCUAUUUUUUUCUUUUAUUUUAGUUUUCAUUUGGACCAAGUCCAAUUAGUGACACCCCUAAAAAUCUAUCUUGGCGGAUCUUGGGUCAGCCACUGAGUUCCA
rnacentral:lncRNA from 1 species